rnacentral:snRNA from 1 species
GGAUGUGAGGGCGAUCUGGCUGCGACAUCUGUCACCCCAUUGAUCGCCAGGGUUGAUUCAGCUGAUCUGGCUGGCUAGGCAGGUGUCCCCUUCCUCCUCACCGCUCCAUGUGCGUCCCUCCUGAAGCUGUGCGCUAGGUCGAAGAGGACAGCCUUCCCUGAAUAGAGACAGACCGGUCUUCCGGGAGGGUAUACGAGUAGCUGCGCUCCCCUGCUAGAACCUCCAAACAAGCUCUCAAGAAUAAGGACAGUUAUCUUUGGGAGGUGGGAGGGAUUUUGGUAGUGGAUUUGGUGUGGAACUAUACUUUGUAAUCUUACAAUCUUGUAGCAUAUUAUUAAUA